UACGAAGGGGGCUAGCGUUGCUCGGAAUCACUGGGCGUAAAGCGCACGUAGGCGGAUCUUUAAGUCAGGGGUGAAAUCCUGGAGCUCAACUCCAGAACUGCCUUUGAUACUGGGGAUCUCGAGUCCGGAAGAGGUGAGUGGAACUCCGAGUGUAGAGGUGAAAUUCGUAGAUAUUCGGAAGAACACCAGUGGCGAAGGCGGCUCACUGGCCCGGUACUGACGCUUAAGAGCGAAAGCGUGGGGAGCAAACAGG
rnacentral:rRNA from 1 species